CGGAGCUUGCUCCACCGGAAAAAGAAGAGUGGCGAACGGGUGAGUAACACGUGGGUAACCUGCCCAUCAGAAGGGGAUAACACUUGGAAACAGGUGCUAAUACCGUAUAACAAUCGAAACCGCAUGGUUUUGAUUUGAAAGGCGCUUUCGGGUGUCGCUGAUGGAUGGACCCGCGGUGCAUUAGCUAGUUGGUGAGGUAACGGCUCACCAAGGCUACGAUGCAUAGCCGACCUGAGAGGGUGAUCGGCCACAUUGGGACUGAGACACGGCCCAAACUCCUACGGGAGGCAGCAGUAGGGAAUCUUCGGCAAUGGACGAAAGUCUGACCGAGCAACGCCGCGUGAGUGAAGAAGGUUUUCGGAUCGUAAAACUCUGUUGUUAGAGAAGAACAAGGAUGAGAGUAACUGUUCAUCCCUUGACGGUAUCUAACCAGAAAGCCACGGCUAACUACGUGCCAGCAGCCGCGGUAAUACGUAGGUGGCAAGCGUUGUCCGGAUUUAUUGGGCGUAAAGCGAGCGCAGGCGGUUUCUUAAGUCUGAUGUGAAAGCCCCCGGCUCAACCGGGGAGGGUCAUUGGAAACUGGGAGACUUGAGUGCAGAAGAGGAGAGUGGAAUUCCAUGUGUAGCGGUGAAAUGCGUAGAUAUAUGGAGGAACACCAGUGGCGAAGGCGGCUCUCUGGUCUGUAACUGACGCUGAGGCUCGAAAGCGUGGGGAGCAAACAGGAUUAGAUACCCUGGUAGUCCACGCCGUAAACGAUGAGUGCUAAGUGUUGGAGGGUUUCCGCCCUUCAGUGCUGCAGCUAACGCAUUAAGCACUCC
rnacentral:rRNA from 1 species